rnacentral:rRNA from 1 species
UACGUAGGGGGCAAGCGUCACCCGGAUUCACUGGGCGUAAAGCGCGUGUAGGCGGCUGGCCAAGCGUGGUGUGAAAUCUCCGGGCUCAACCCGGAAACUGCACUGCGAACUGGCCUGGCUGGAGUGCAGGAGAGGGAUGCGGAAUUCACGGUGUAGCGGUGAAAUGCGUAGAUAUCAGGAGGAACACCGGUGGCGAAGGCGCCACUCUGGGCCGAAACUGACGCUGAGGAGCGAAAGCGUGGGUAGCAAACAGG